UACGUAGGUGGCAAGCGUUGUCCGGAUUUACUGGGCGUAAAGAGCGCGCAGGCGGUCGUUCAAGUCGCGUGUGAAAGCCCCCGGCUCAACUGGGGAGGGUCACGCGAUACUGAUCGACUCGAAGGCAGGAGAGGGAAGUGGAAUUCCCGGUGUAGUGGUGAAAUUCGUAGAUAUCGGGGAGGAACACCGGUGGCGAAGGCGGCGACCUGGGUAGAUACUGACGCUGAGGCGCGAAAGCGUGGGGAGGCAAACAGGG
rnacentral:rRNA from 1 species